GGAUUGUGGCUCAGCGGUAGAGCGCUCGCCUAGCACGUGUGAGGGCCCCGGGUUUGAUCCUCAGCACCA
rnacentral:tRNA from 1 species